rnacentral:tRNA from 1 species
GAGGUAUUAGUAAAACAAUUACAUAACUUUGUCAAAGUUAAAUUAUAGAGUUACAUCUAUAUAUCUCA